rnacentral:lncRNA from 1 species
CAAAAUUACUCGACUAUAAUUUGAUUAAAUCAAGAUCUGUAACAUCCUUUCAUUAUCAAUAAAAUCUUUAUUUAUAAUUUAUAUAUUCCAUAAUAUCUUUUGAUUUAAACGAUUAAUAUUUUUAAUCAAUUUAAACCACUACGUUUUUGCUAUGCACUCUGAUCUUAAUUUAUCAAAUUAUAUAGAUUUAGCAAAAGAUAAGAAUAUCCUUGUAUGUUACAUCAAUCAA